AAAGGAAGGAACUGUGGCUGAGGAAUGGAUCAAUGGCAAAGGGAAAGAAAGGGAGAUAGUUGUUACUGUUUUGAGGAAUGGAAAAAAUGAGUUACUAGCCAAAUGUGAAGGAAAGGAACUGUGGUUGAGGUAAGGAAGGUUAAUAAUGGAGGGUUGAGGAAUGGAUCAAUGAGAAAGGGAAAGAAAAGGAAAUGCUCUUUGCUGGUGUUUUGGGGAAUGGAAAAAUGAGUUACAAGCCAAAUGAGAAGGAAAGGAACCAUGGACAGAGAGAGGAAGGUUAAUAAUGGAAAGUUGGAAAGUUUCGUUUAGUCGGCGCAACAUCUGUGGUCAUAUGCCGGGGAGAUACAGAAGGGGAAGGAAUUAUAGAAGGGAACAGAUCCCAGGAGACGGGACACAACUCCCAAUUAAUACCUGGUACCCAUUCACUGCUGGGUGGACAGGGGCGUAGGGUAUCGGAAAAGCUGCCCAAAUUUUUCCACUCCGCCUGGGAAUCGAACCCGGGCUCUCUCAGUUGUGAGCGGAGUUAAUAAUGCAGUUAAUAAUGGAGGGUUGAAGAAGUGAGAAAUGGGAAAGGGAACGAAAGGGAGAUAGUCAUUACUGGUGUUUUGAGGAAUGUAAAAAUGAGUUACUAGCCAAUAGAAAAGAAAGGAACUGCUUGGAAAGAAAAAUACAGACUGAGAAAUAAGUCACAGGUCUAUUAGAAAGAUAAAUGCAGACCGAGAAAUUAGUCACAUAUAUUGGAAAGUCAAAUACAAACCGAGAAAUAAGUCACGUAUAUUGGAAAGUCAAAUACAAACCGAGAAAUAAGUCACGUAUAUUGGAAAGUCAAAUACAAACCGAGAAAUAAGUCACACGUAGAAAGAUUAACACAGACCAGAGUAAGUCGUAAGUUCCAAGUCCGGUAUUCUCAGACGCCUCCGACCCUCACAUCAACAACUUCCCAAGGCCACAAGGAAGAUCAAUCAGGUUCUCAUAAGUGUGUUUUCAGGUUCACGGUACAGAUGAAGGGUCAGACUACCACUAGGGUCAUAAAGUACAUGUGGAAAUGACCAGAUAAUGCACGGAAGACUUGAAUGUGUGCAAUUGGCCACCGGAAUGUUUAAGAGUAAGGGAAUUGCUCAUGAACCGACAGCCUUGAGUGCCGUAAUGAGCUUGAGUACGUGCGUUGGUGUCUGGUGGUGGUGUGACUCACUCCUUCCUGGGUGACGGGCGGCUGGGGGUGACGCGGCGGAUUCACUGACUAAGGCACGCUAAUCCUUUCAUUGACGGCCAGGAAGAGGAUCAAACGUAUACGCUUUCCUUGAAGGUUUUUGACCGCGACUUAUUUUUCUGGUUGCCUUUAUUCAUUUAUUUUUUAUCUUAUCUAUCUUUUUUUUAUGAUUUUAUGUUCGUUUUCUUUCUUUCUUCAUUUUCUUUGGGUGAUUAGUCGAUUGGGGUUUUAGGUGUGUGUGUGUGUGUGUGUGUGUGUGUGUGUGUGUGUGUGUGUGUGUGUGUGUGUGUGUGUGUGUGUGUGUGUGAGAUUUAU